rnacentral:lncRNA from 1 species
UUGAUUAAGGAGGGAUUACCAUCUAUGCUAAAACAAUGAUUUGGAACAAUCAUUUAUGUUGCCUACAAAUUUUUCUUAUUUAUACUCAGAAGGCAUAUUUUUUUUAUAUAUGUUUGUAUAUACACUUUUUAUAACUGUUUGAUUAAUUUAUGGUAAAAAUAAAAUAAAAUAAACUAGAAUUCAUAGAUUUUGAUUGCUAAGUCUUAAGUUGUUAGCGAUGAACUUUGAAAAGUCAAUCGUUGUAUUCAAUAAU